UACGUAGGGUGCGAGCGUUGUCCGGAAUUACUGGGCGUAAAGAGCUCGUAGGUGGUUUGUCGCGUUGUUCGUGAAAACUCACAGCUCAACUGUGGGCGUGCGGUCGAUACGGGCAUCACUGGAGUUCGGCAGGGGAGACUGGAAUUCCUGGUGUAGCGGUGAAAUGCGCAGAUAUCAGGAGGAACACCGGUGGCGAAGGCGGGUCUCUGGGCCGAUACUGACGCUGAGGAGCGAAAGCGUGGGGAGCGAACAGG
rnacentral:rRNA from 1 species